GGGAUACAGUAUCCUCUGGGGAGAGGGAGGACGGCCGACGUGAACAAGAACUGGAACCAAAUCCCGUAACUGCCCUUCAACAAGUCGCCGGAAGAAGGAAUGCGGUCCACCUUGAGACCCAAUUCAUACAGUCAUCUUAUAGACAUCCUGCUUCCAAUAGAUGAAACUUACAAAACAUUACCGAUCUACGAGGUACCAGAGUCAUCUGUCACCUCUGGUCUUCUUGGGACCAUCUACACGCCCAAAUAAAUGAAGAGGUCAACCAGUCGAAAUCCUUACUGCUAACUAGAAAACCCACAAAACUGUUUCCAUACAGCCUAUUUGCCCAUCAGUUGGAAACUGGAUAAAGAAGAUGUGGUUUUUCUAUAAAAUGGAAUACUACUCAGCCAUAAAGAACGAGAAAAUAGAUUCAUUCAUAAGAAAAUGGAUACAUAUUGAAGAUAUACUCCUAAGUGAAAUAAAUAAGGCGCACA
rnacentral:lncRNA from 1 species